GUCACAUCUCGACUUUAAUUCCUUAUCUAGAGGUAAAGGCUUUGGGUGAAGAUGACUGUAUCUCUACCCCUGAUGUUGAACAAAAUAAUGACACUAAUAAUCUUUGUGUUCGCAGGAAGGCUGCGAUAUUAAGUGAGCAGCGAACACGAGAAUAUUUGAAUAUGUAGGUUAAGUAUGACUGAAUUUUUAUACAAUUUACAUAUUAAAUUGUAUCCCUGGCCUGCAAUGUCCAGAAAAUUACGAAUAUCAUUCGUAACUUUCCAUUUUUUGUUUGUAUUAACCGCAUAUUUUGACUCAAAGGGAGUAAGUAGUUGUUUGAUAGUUUUAAGUUGGUAUUCAAUUAGAUUGUUUUCAUUUUUAACCCUCUUCCAUUGGUUCCCUUAUUACCUUGUUAUACUAUACAAGCCGAUAUGGUUAUGUUCUGAAAGACAGAAGGAGUCAUCACUCAGUCCGCAGUAUGGCAGCAACUCCUCCUCCUAUUCCUCUAAGCCUUCUGUGAAAUUACUAAUCUUCGUGUUCAAGUGUUUUUCGCAGAUGUGUUUCUUCGUCGAUAAUUAUACAGUGAGGAAUAUAAACAAUAUGUGGAUGUUGUAAAACUCUCACUGGAUCACUGGAUAGCUUCUUCGAUUGGUUUGCCACGACCAUGUGCCACGUCGAGAUGUAUGCAGUUCUGAAGUCUUCGUCCUCGAGUUAUGACCAAGGGCUUACUUUGAUGUAUUCAGCAUCGUUGUGUGUGAUUGAGCCCAAGUGGAGUCCUAGCUUGAUGUGUCGUAUAAUUGGCUCCUUUAUCUGCAACUUGCUCUUGUGGUGAACGUCGUCGUCACUUCCACUUAUAUGCCUCUCUGGACAAUAACAGGACAGAGUGGUUACGAACUAAACAUAUUCACUGAAAAGGACUUUCUCGCUUCGUCUACGUUUUGGAUGAGGUCCUUUCGUCGACAGGAAUUCCAUUUAACUAUAAAGCGGUCUAACAUACGAAUGUACUAUUUGGCUUGCCACCUUCAGCGUGUUUGUUGUUAAUUGUAAGGUGUUAAUAAUUAUAUUAAUCUGUAUGUUAA